AAGACAAGAAAAUGUUCAUUUUCACCAAUUUACCCUUCACAAUCUUAUUAGAUAACCCUAAAAAUCUAAAAUGUUCGGCUUCUUCUUUCUUCUUCACUCACAACGACAGCCAUGAAUCCAUGAUGUCAUCUCCAUCAGAACCACCACAAUUACCACCUUCUUCUUCUAAUCUUAUUCUUCCCCAUACAGAGAGAAAGUUAUACUUUUUAUUUUAGAGCUAGGGUUAGAGGAUCAAUUCGUGAAGAACUUAGGGGAGAAAUCAGGGAAGAUUUGAUCUGUUUGUUGUGUUGAGAAUGGGUUGAAGAGAAAAAACUCAUCGAAGAUUUAAUGGAAGAAUUUAAAGUAGAAAUUAAACUAGGUUUGAGUUGAUAAUUCGAACAAGGAAGAUAUGGGUUCUGAAAUUAGGGAUUGUGUGAUAUGAUUGAGUUAGAGUUUGAACUGAUUUGAGGUGUAGGUGAUGAAGAAGCUACUGAUGAGGUGGAAAAGGAUCUGAAAUUGAAGGUGGAGGAAAUCUGUUAGAUUAAUUGAAAAGGUUAAUGGAAACGUGCAGAUAUCUAGUUCAGUGGUUAAAUUGAAUGGAAAAUUGCAAGUAAUUUCGAGUCCUAGUUUGAUUAGGAACAAUAGGUUGCAAGGGAUUUUGAUCGUUAAGCAAGUUAGGAGAAGAUUAGUGGAGAUAAUCAUCUAGCAGGUUCAAGGUUGUGACAGAAAAAAUAGCAUCGAACCAACAUCUGACGCAUAAAAGAGAAAUUUUAAAAGGGAGAACAUAAGGUUCAUAUUAUGAAUGGAAAAUAAAUUGGCUGGUAUUCUGAUACUUGCAGGUUUCAGUUUGUAGUGUUUGCUGGUAAGAAUAGGAACCAUGAUGAACUAAAAGACGGAAUUGGUGAGGAUUACGGCCCCUCCACUCAUCUGCAAAGUAUGAACAUAAAUGGCUAUCUGUUGGAUGGAACGCCCCAAGAAAGAGAAGAAAGAUUAAUUAAAAGAUACUUAAAGGCGUCUUAGUCAAUUGUGUUCUCAUCUUGAUUUUUUUUUUUUUUGGGAUCUGACAGUGGUAUUGGUAAGAAAUUUUGAUCAUUUUUCCGUUGGUGGGUUUUGAUUUGUUUCAAUGUCACGAUUGGAUUCUCAAGUGAUAGUUACUGGUCGAUGUCAUUUUUUGAUUAUGUUUCUGUAUGAAUGCAUGAAAUUUUCUAAUUA